AAACAUUUAUUUACUAUAUCUAUAACAAUUCAAACUAUGAAAUAUGAAUUUAUAACCAAUUUUAUUUAGUUUUAACUAACUAUUUCAGGGGGGGGGGGGGGGGGUAGGGUUUUAAAGGUGAAAAAAAAGUAUAUUUUUAUGAUUUUUUCUCGGCAAAAUGAGUAAUAUAAUUUUAUUUAACUUAAUAACAUAUUAUUGUACAACUUAUAAACUAUAUCAGAAAAAAUUUUCAUUGGAAAAUAUUGAAAAAUAAGCCGGUGACGUUGAAUCUCUCGAGGUGCCUUCAAAAAAAGUUGUUUUGCGGUGAACAUCAUAACUCCUUACAGGAACAUCAGAAAAAAAAAUUGAUAUGCAUUUUAAAGGACUUGGAAGUGAAAAACGCGAUUUUAGCUCAAAAAAUCGCGGUUAAUUUGUUAUUAAAAAAUAUAAAAAAAUGAAAAAAAAAAAAAAACUCUCAGUGGUUACCUGUUGAUUUAUGAGAAGCAGUAAUGUUCAAAUUUUCAAAAGGAUCGGUUCAGUACAUUUUGAGUUAUCAUGUCCACGAACUUUAAAAAUGACGUUUUCGAGAAAAUCGAUUUAAAGUUUUUUAUACGUGAAAAUUUGAAAUAAACCAUCAAUAAAAAAACAUGAAUUUCUAUACUUACAUCGAGACAUCAGCUUACAUCCUUUAAAAGACAAUAGACGGAAAAAAGGAUUCAGAAAAAGAAAAGAAAAUUGCAGCUGAUUUCUACUGGGAUUCUGAGAAGGAGUUAUCUAAAGCAGUGGAAUCAGGAAAAAAAAAACCUCCUGUGGCACUAUUGUCAGAAUUAUCUGAAGAAGAAUUAGAAAUAAAAAAAAAAAGGAUAGCCAAACUGGAUGAUAAAAUACUUAUUCAUGCAUAUAUCACUGUCAACUCUAAAACCUCAUAGAACCUCACAAAAUACUUUAAGAAUUCUAAUGAUAACAGCGCCUAAUAUUUUUGUAUAAAUCCUUAUACAAUUAUACCUAUAAAAUACUUAUAAAUUUAACUGUCAACCCUAAAGUCUCAAAUAAUCUUUUAAAUAAGUCGAAAAAUUCUUGUGAUAUUCCUGUAUUGAUACUUAUACAAUUAUAACUAUGAAAUACUUAUAUAUCAUCAUACAACCGUUGAUCUUACAUUUUUUUAUAAUUACAAAAUAACGAUAAGAACCUAACUAAAAAAUCUGUGCGAUAUUUUUGCAUAGGUUCUCAUACGAUUAUUAUUAUACAAUACCCAUAUAUCGAGGGUUUUCUGACGCAACUUCGUAUCUCAAAAACUACUUCUUUUCAGGAGAGACAAAAAACGUUUUAUAAUGAACUUCUAGCUUUUUUUUUAUUAAUUCUUUUUACAAAUCUAAAAAGUUAUCAAACUUCCUAUAAAUUUUCAAGACAACUGUAAUAUUAAAUAUAUUUCAUUAUUAUUUUUUUGCUCAUUUUGUGAGGUACGUGUUUGCUGCACCAAAAAAUUGCUGAAAAAUGUAGCAUACGUGUUUGCUGUAUUCUUAAUUGAUAUAAAAGCAUAGACAUAAAGGGGCUUUUUGGAUCAUUUUAUUCAGGAAUAUAUAAUCAACUUUUCAAUUAUUCUUAACCAAGUAACAAUAUUAUUAUUAAACUUAUUAGUGUUAUUAUAUAUUG